CCUACGGGAGGCUGCAGUGAGGAAUAUUGGUCAAUGGACGAGAGUCUGAACCAGCCAAGUAGCGUGAAGGAUGACUGCCCUAUGGGUUGUAAACUUCUUUUAUAUGGGAAUAAAAUGUUCCACGUGUGGGAUUUUGUAUGUACCAUAUGAAUAAGGAUCGGCUAAAUCCGUGCCAGCAGCCGCGGUAAUACGGAGGAUCCGAGCUUUAUCCGGAUUUAUUGGGUUUAAAGGGAGCGUAGGUGGAUUGUUAAGUCAGUUGUGAAAGUUUGCGGCUCAACCGUAAAAUUGCAGUUGAAACUGGCAGUCUUGAGUACAGUAGAGGUGGGCGGAAUUCGUGGUGUAGCGGUGAAAUGCUUAGAUAUCACGAAGAACUCCGAUUGCGAAGGCAGUUCACUGGACUGCAACUGACACUGAGGCUCGAAAGUGUGGGUAUCAAACAGGAUUAGAUACCCUUGUAGUC
rnacentral:rRNA from 1 species